CUACGGGUCGCACCAGUGGGGAAUAUUGGACAAUGGGCGCAAGCCUGAUCCAGCAAUGCCGCGUGAGUGAAGACGGCCUUAGGGUUGUAAAACUUUUUCGCUAGGGAAGAUAAUGACUGUACCUAGUAAAGAAGUCCCGGCUAACUCCGUGCCAGCAGCCGCGGUAAUACGGAGGGGACUAGCGUUGUUCGGAAUUACUGGGCGUAAAGAGUUCGUAGGCGGACUGACAAGUUAGAGGUGAAAUCCCAGGGCUCAACCCUGGAACUGCCUUUAAAACUGUCAGUCUAGAGACCGGAAGAGGUUAGGGGAAUACCUAGUGUAGAGGUGAAAUUCGUAGAUAUUAGGUGGAACACCAGUGGCGAAGGCGCCUAACUGGUCCGGUACUGACGCUGAGGAACGAAAGCGUGGGGAGCAAACAGGAUUAGAUACCCCGGUAGUC
rnacentral:rRNA from 1 species